GGAUUGUGGCUCAGAGGUAAAGUGCUCGCCUAGUAUGUGUGAGGCACUGGGUUCGAUCCUCAGCACCA
rnacentral:tRNA from 1 species